rnacentral:rRNA from 1 species
GACGUAGGGCGCAAGCGUUGUCCGGAUUUAUUGGGCGUAAAGAGCGUGUAGGCGGCCAGGUAGGUCUGCUGUGAAAACUCGAGGCUCAACCUCGAGACGUCGGCGGAAACCAUCUGGCUAGAGUCCGGAAGAGGAGAGUGGAAUUCCUGGUGUAGCGGUGAAAUGCGCAGAUAUCAGGAAGAACACCCGUGGCGAAGGCGGCUCUCGUGGGACGGUACUGACGCUGAGACGCGAAAAGCGUGGGGAGCGAACAGG